rnacentral:piRNA from 1 species
UGGUUGUUUUCUCUGACUCCUUGAGUAGA